rnacentral:rRNA from 1 species
GUAUACGGCCAUACCACGUUGAAAGCACCGGUUCUCGUCCGAUCACCGAAGUUAAGCAACGUCGGGCUCGGUUAGUACUUGGAUGGGUGACCGACUGGGAACAGCGGGUACUGUAGACA